rnacentral:tRNA from 1 species
GUCCGUGUAGUGUAGUGGUUAUCACGUUUGCUUUACACGCAAAAGGCCUCCGGUUCGAUCCCGGACAUGGACA